UUUUUUACAAUCUUUUUAUGCCUAACGCUUAUUUAUGGUAAGUAGAUUUUACAAAUGAUUACCGCACCUACUUUCAUUAGGGUGCCAACUUCUGAUCAGUUGAAUUAAUUGUUAACGCUAAAGAAAUUCGUAGAGGCGACAAAUGGAAUUAAAUAAUUGCCUCUAUGUUUUUUCUUAGUUGAUCCUGAAAGACAAGAUACAUGGAAUACCUGAACCACUAUGUGGUAAGCAGUUUUUCUUUUUAUACAGUAGGGGAGACCGGGGCUAGAUGUUACAGGGGUAGGUUGUUACAGUGGCAAUUGCCGCGAAACAGAGAGCGCUAUGGUGACGUUAGAAAGAGACAAAUACUCUCGCCGCCGUCGGCUAGCGUGCUGCGAGAGCCAGAAACGCCAGCAUUUCUGUGAGAAGAGCACACGCAUGCCUUCAUUAAAAUUGCAGAAUGAGGACGUAUGUACGAAAUACUGAGCGGGGAAAAAUAUCUACAGACAUUUCCGAACAAGCGGCAGCUAAAAGACUUUGGAUUAUUAUUAUUCGUAUCUGUUAAAACUGCUGAUUGGUAAGGUUUGCAUAUGAAUUAAAAACUCGCAAAUCAGCAGUUUUAACAGAUACGCCAGAGAAAAAUGCUUUGGCACUGGAAUACAGUAAAAAAAGAAAAAAAAAUCCAAGAAAAGAAAAUCAGUCAAAGGGGGAAAAUCUACAGGAAAGAAGAUGGGACAGGAAAAUCAUCGUUUCAUAUUAGAUUAUUAUGUUUUCUUUGUAAUAUAGACUGCUUUCUAGAUGUAAGUAUGUCAUGUUAUUUCAAUUAAGAAAAGGAACUAACUAUGAUGAUUGUUCCUAAUAAAAACUCAUAUAAUA
rnacentral:lncRNA from 1 species